CAGCAGUGUGAGUGUGUGAGGAGGAGAGAUGAGGAAGCAGGAUGAUGGGAUCUCCUUUUACUCCCUUUAAGUGACCCAUAUUUUAUAUUUGCCACAGAUUUUUUUUUUUUUUUUUAAAUCUAUUCGGUUGUAGGCGAGGAUUUGUCACCAUCAACAUGUCGGCGUCUGCGAUAUUUAUCCUCGACCUUAAAGGGAAGGUGCUGAUCUGCCGUAACUAUAUGGGAAACAUGGACAUGAACGUGAUUGACCAAUUCAUGCCCAUCCUGAUGAAGACGGAAGAGGAUGCUGAGGUGACGCCGUUGGUCAGCCAUGGUUCCUGCCACUUUCUGUGGAUAAAGCACAGCAACAUCUACUUGGUGGCUAUGACCAAGAAGAAUGCCAAUGCUGCCCUGGUGUACUCCUUCCUUUACAAAAUAGUCCAGGUAUUUAAAGAGUACUUUAAGGAACUGGAGGAGGAAAGUAUCCGUGAUAACUUUGUGACAGUGUACGAGCUAAUGGAUGAAGUGAUGGAUUUUGGCUUCCCUCAGACAACUGACAGCAAGAUCCUACAAGAAUAUAUCACCCAGCAGGGCCACAAGUUGGAGGUCGGAGCUCCAAGGCCUCCUGCCACCGUCACCAAUGCCGUGUCUUGGCGGUCAGAAGGCAUCAAAUACAGAAAGAAUGAAGUAUUUAUGGAUGUUAUUGAGUCGGUUAACUUACUGGUGAGUGCCACAGGCAGCGUCCUGCGCAGCGAAAUAGUGGGCAGCAUUAAGCUCAAGGUGGUUCUGUCGGGGAUGCCUGAACUCAGACUGGGCCUCAAUGACAAAGUCCUGUUUGAGAUUACAGGAAGAGAGAAGAGUAAGACAGUGGAGCUGGAAGACGUGAAGUUUCAUCAGUGUGUCCGUCUGUCGCGCUUUGAGAAUGACCGCACCAUCUCCUUCAUUCCCCCUGAUGGCGAGAGUGAGCUCAUGUCGUAUCGCCUCAAUACCACGGUGAAGCCUCUCAUAUGGAUUGAGAGCGUGAUUGAGAAGUUCUCGCACAGCCGUGUGGAGAUCAAGGUGAAGGCCCGGAGUCAGUUUAAGAGCCGCUCCACCGCCAACAAUGUGUCCAUUAUGAUUCCGGUGCCCAGCGACGCUGACACACCGAAGUUCAAGACCAGCACAGGCAGUGCCAAGUGGGUGCCAGAGAAGAACGCCGUGCAGUGGAACAUCAAGUCUUUCCCUGGUGGGAAGGAGUACAUGAUGCGGGCGCACUUCGGGCUGCCCAGCGUGGAGAGCGACGAGCUGGAGGCAAAGCGACCCAUCACAGUUAACUUUGAGAUCCCAUAUUUCACUGUAUCAGGAUUCAGGUCCGCUAUCUGAAGAUCAUAGAGAAGAGUGGCUACCAGGCGUUACCAUGGGUACGCUACAUCACACAAAGUGGAGAUUACCAACUCCGGACGAACUAAAGGCCACCAGUGCUGCUGCACAAUUUAUGUUUUCUCUUUCCAUCUCUCUGUCUCUGCCUGCAAAGAACAGCAGAGGACAAGUGCAAGAGAACAUAAAAUUUGACCCACUGUGAUGGGACAGAAGACCUCCUCUCCUGUUGGUUAUGGACGCCUCAGGCGGAAACAGCUGUUCACUCACCUCUGACCUGUGACCUUUUUCUCCCUCAGGACUCCACUAAAACAUUUUUUUAAUGUGAAUUUUGAGCAGAAUCCAGCGACACCAUCUGUUCUUCUUAAAGCUUUUUUAAUGUGAUGUCCCUUCAAGUUAAUUUGGAGCAAAAUUCCUGAUAUGUGCACGGAGCGACAGGGUGACAGGAAUCAAUCUGUGAUUUAUUUUGUGUUCUUCAGAGAACGUGCAGCUUUUUUCCUGGGUAACAUAUAAACCAGCAGAUUGUCCACUGCCAUUGUGAGGGAUCAGCAUCACUUUAAAGUUAUAUGUUCAUGCAAGAUCAUCCCACAUUUCUGUCAGCAUCUGUGACCAUCAAAGAUUUUAAGGAUAACACUGUUGGCAGCCAAGCCUCUGAGCUCUAAUCGUCUUUUAAUGAUUGAUUAAUUUGCAAGAAAACAGUAUGGGGAAGACGCAUCGGGAGUUAUAAAGAUCCAGCAUACGCUCAAAGUUGUCAACAAAAUAGCCAUAUAUAUGUAUGUAUAUAUGCUAAGGCUAAUAGGCUAGGUCACCUGAAUUUGGAUAAUGAAUGGAUAUUUUUGCAGAUUGGGUGAUAAUUUUUAUCAGGACCUGAGUGUGGGUUUUUAAAAUGAUGACUGGUCUGUUGUCUCUAUAAUGGCUAUACAAUGACUGUAGCUAACAAAAUUAAGCUAGCAGUACCUGCUAAUUACCGCUAAUGGCACUAACCUGCAUAUUAAAUCGCACUAAAAUUUCACUCUGCAGAAAUACUGGAGCACAGUCUUCUUAUUUCAAUUAUUUGUCCUCAGAAAGGACAAACCCAGUCACAUCCACAACAGCUAGCAACCAUUGCUAACGGAGCACUGGACCUAGCACACCAGGUCUUACUCAACGUGACCAUGCCCCUAAUUAUUCGUAACUUCAUGGCCUAAAAAGUCUUUAAACUAAUGAGGUAUACAAAAAUUCCCCCCUUCUGUACAGUUGUCAUGAAUGAGGAAAACCAACUACAGAGGUGAAAACUUUUUUUUUUUUUUGUUACCUGCAGUUCUUUGAAUGGCCUCAAGAGCCAGGUUUUGGCACUUCUGCAUUUUGUUUUUUUUCAACAUCUGAAGUUGCUGCUUAGAAAUAACGUAUGACACCUGCUUUGUAAUUGUUGCACAGCUGCAUAGCCAAAGGCAGAAGCUACACUUCUUUACUAUUACACAAGCUAGAAUUUUACACAAAGUCCCAAUAGAAAUUUUAUAAUAUGACCAGCAAUGGAUGUUGUAAAUAUUCCCGAAAUGCAAAAAACACGUUAGAACUCCACUCGGCCAAUUUUAAGUAUCAGAGGGGGAAAAAGAGUGAGAGUGAUUUAGAGAUGUGCUGCAAGACUUACUGAUCCAGUGUGUUCCGUCCUUUUCAGUAGUUUGUGGGGGAAAUUAUUUUUUUCAAAGUUCAGUCUUGAUUUCAAACAAUCAAUACAUGACUAAAGUUUAAAAAAAAAAAAGGUGAACUUGCCCUUUAUUGCACUAUGUUAUGCGUCUACAGUUUAAAUCGUCCCUUUGUGUGAUGUAUGUUCCACUGAAUUCUGCACAUUAUUUAGUCAUGACCUUAAAUUAUGUCGCCGGGCUCAUUGCGGUAAACUUAAUCCCCAGUGCAGUGAACGCAGCACCGGUGACCACAUCAAUGAUUAAUAAGGCACGAUAUCGUCACAGGCGUCGGCAGUGUAAUAUAAUGCUGCUGACACCUUCCCAUGAGGUCUAGAACCUUGUCCUGAUGCUCCAAAACAGGAAUUAGACAUCAAGCAGAGACUGAAGGAACGAGUGCAGGGCUGACAUUUUAUGUUUCUACUUAAACACUGUGAAGCUCAACACAUUCAGUUUGGGUGAAGUUACAAAUCAUAAAAGGAAUAUUUUUGAGAUUAGUGACCAACUGUUGAGACAGUUUUUUUUAAAUAUCUUUUGACCUCUUCUGGAUUCAGUCGGUUCUUCCUGUCAGUUCUGCUGCUAAGAGCUCAGUGGAGUGACGCAUCGUCACCACGCCGUACCUCACAGGUAGCCAAUCACUGCGUUAUUUAGUGUGGGGAUGUUGGAGGAGGGUUAUUUUUUAAUGGUGUGUUGUGUGUUUGAUUUGUCAAGUCCUGUUUGUCCACAAGAAGAAAAGGGAUCUACAGUGUUUGGAAAUAAACAUUCUUUUAUAUCUUG